rnacentral:rRNA from 1 species
GUAGGUGGCAAGCGUUGUCCGGAAUUAUUGGGCGUAAAGCGCGCGCAGGCGGUUCUUUAAGUCUGAUGUGAAAGCCCACGGCUCAACCGUGGAGGGUCAUUGGAAACUGGAGAACUUGAGUACAGAAGAGGAAAGCGGAAUUCCACGUGUAGCGGUGAAAUGCGUAGAGAUGUGGAGGAACACCAGUGGCGAAGGCGGCUUUCUGGUCUGUAACUGACGCUGAGGCGCGAAAGCGUGGGGAGCAAACAGGGAUUAGAUACCCUGGUAGUCCACGCCGUAAACGAUGAGUGCUAAGUGUUAGGGGGUUUCCGCCCCCUUAGUGCUGCAGCUAACGCAUUAAGCACUCCGCCUUGGGAGUACGGCCGCAAGGCUG